UUAGGCUAUUAAUGUGUUGUAUACUGUUAAGUACAUGCCUAAAAUUGUGGUCCAUUUGUGCAAAAACACUUAAGAUACGUUAAAACGAACUGAAUAUGAGCUGGUAACUGACAUUUUAAACGAAACGCCCACACACGACUGAACGAGGGGAGGCAGCGCGACCCCAUGCGUAUGUCGUGUCGUGCUGGAUCGGUACCAUUAGUGAUGGUCCUUACAUUGUAUCAGUAAGUACCGUUCUGAGGAGAAGUGAAUAGCCCUGGAGUUUACAAGAGAGGAAGUUGCCAAAACAGACACAAUAUGAAAUCAAAUGUUUUACAACCCAAAGGCCAACCAAAAAGGUUUUUAAGAUGGCUGUUUCCUUAGUUACAAUCGCUUAAGUGGCAACAUGGCCAAGUGAAGUGCACCAUUAUUAUGCAAACUCAACUUUAAGUAGCCUAAUUGUCAUUGUCGAGGAUUAACUUGUAUGUUUGUGUGGGAGAGUGGCAGGGUACUGAGGAUAAGAAGUGCAUCAUUUGUUUUUCUUAUUCAUUUUCUUAUUCGUUUUCUUACUGCAAGACUGCAUCUACUGGUAAAGCUCAGGAUGUUACCUGACUGGACUGGUAAUGAUGAGCAGUGCUGAGGGUGAUGAAGAUGAAGAUUCAAGUCCAAUCUGCUUCUGUAAAUGUGGCCAUUCAUUAUACCAGCCAAUCAAAACAGUACUUCUAGGGCAUGGAGGAGAGGGGUAUCAUUUGAUUGGCUGUUAAGCUCAAAUGUCAACAGCGUUUUACUAUAAUCAUGGACAAUAUCUUUAACUGCAUAUAAGUCCGUGAUGCCAUGCUUAUUUGCCCAUACUGUAUUCUUUUAUGUAUCUAUUGCUUAAGACUUUGGUCAGUGUUUUAUAAUAAUAAUGAUAAUAAAAAUAAAUUUUCCACCAUUAUGAUAA